AGUGAACGCUGGCGGCAGGCCUAACACAUGCAAGUCGAACGGCAGCACAGUAAGCUCUCGCUCUUACGGGUGGCGGGUGACGGACGGGUGAGGCAUACAUCGGCAUCCACUUUUUCGUGGGGGAGAACGUAGGGCUACUUAUGCUACUACCUCAUACGUCCUACCGCUGAAUGCAGGGGAGCUUUGGUUUUUCCGCGUUUGGAUGAGCUGACGUCGGAUUAGCUGGUUGGCGGGGUAAAGGCCCACCAAGGCGACGACCCGUAGCCGGCCUGAGCGGAUGAUCAGCCACACUGGAACUGGGACACGGUCCAUGCUCCUACGGGAGGCAGCAGUGGGGAAUAUUGGACAAUGGGCGCAAGCCUGAUCCAGCGAUACCGCGUGGGUGAAGAAGGCCUUCGGGUUGUAAAGCCCUUUUGUUGGGAAAGAAAAGCAGCAGGUUAAUACCCCGCGAUUCUGACGGUACCCAAAGAAUAAGCACCGGCUAACUUCGUG
rnacentral:rRNA from 1 species